rnacentral:lncRNA from 1 species
UUUGGUACGGUUUCCUGUUGUCGCUUGCGUCGAGCCUUGGGUCCGUCUCUCCUUCUCAUUGAGGUUAGUCCACUCCUCUUGUGCUUGCCUAUGGAAUGUUUGAUGAAAUGCAUGUGUGCUAACGCAUGUUCUACUGUUCAGCCUACUUCUCCUGUCGCUGGCGCUUCUUCUUCUCGUCCGUCCUGCUCUUACCCAACGUGCUUCUGCUUGCUGCCUCGGGUAAAUAGGCCGUUAUGUUGCUUCUGUGACCGGCAAGUGUUCAUUGCAUGCCUGUGUGUCGUUGUGC